GAUGGGGCAAGCCAUGGGACUGGAAGGCAGCAGGCAGAUGUCAGGGUUGGGGAUUACUGGCUCAGAAGCAGGAAAUCUCAUGUAGAAGCCCAGAACUUUCAAGAGAUAAGAAGUAGAGAGAUUCUGGUUUAAAGAGAGAUGACAGAAGCCCUGAAUGUCCUCUCUUCUGCUCCCCCAGAUACCUUCAUGGACUACAGGGCUGUACAUACGGUUAGACUCCUUGACCUCAAUGUGAAUGUCUAAAGACUCCAAGCAUCCUAACUCCAAUUAGAAAUCCAGCAGCAAUGUAUUA
rnacentral:lncRNA from 1 species